UUUCAAAAUCUUUAUUUUCCUCCCCGUUAUUUCGCAUUUGAGUUUUCGUUCCAUCACUUUUUCCUAUAUAUUACUACCUAUAAUAUAAUACACGGUGGUCAAGCUGGGAACUACAGCGAGUACAGGAAUGCCUCCAGAUGGGUAAAAAUAUAUUUUUUGUACACCUAUAUACCUUGUAUAUUGUAUGUAAUUAAAUCUAAUCCCAAAUAUCAUAUCUCAUUUUUCUCACAUCCUUCGGCUAGAACCAGAAUUUUUUUUUUUAACAUUAUUUAUCGUUUUUAUUUUAUUUAUUUAGUUUUUAACAUUGCACACAUCUAACACUACUCAUAAUACCGGAAAAAUACCGAGCUGGGUCUGUUGAACUUUCGUCCUGAAAAAAUCCCAAACCAAUCGAAUACUUACGCAUAUUUUAUACGCGUAAAAGCUAUUGAAUUAUUCAUCGGAUCGGAACACGAUUAAUUGCACGCAAUAUAUCCUACCUAAUAUUACUAUGUAGUCUCGUAUACAAUAUCGAUAACCAAAAUAUAAGAAAAUUGAAAUUUGACAUUUUUUUUUAGAUUCUGAGCACAGUGAAAAAUGUUUUGGUUUUGCUUUGAUGUGUUUUUAUUUUUUGUGUCCGUAUAAUCAAAUUUUCUACUAGAAAUCUUGCUCUAAUCAAUAGUUUUCAUUUAGCAUUCAUUUGUGAUAUAGUUGGUGCGUUGAUGAGAUCAUUUAUUUUAUUUGUUUAUUUCUGGGUUAUGUUGAAGACAAGAAAAUACGACUGAUAAUACUCUGUUUAGAAUAUUUUUACGUUAUCUAUGGUUAAUCGUGUGUUUUAGGUAUAAAUUAUUAUACACAUAUAUUCUUCCUCCUUAGUAGCCCAUUAGUAUUAUCAGCCUGCUUUAUUUUUCGGUAUUAUUAUAACUAUUUCAUCAAUUAUUAGCAAAUGUACUGCUAACAAUCAACAUCAAUUGAUAUACAUAAUACGUAUUGUACAUUUUUCUGGUCUUGGCGUACUUUUAAUCCAAAUAAUAUUUGUUUGUAUUAACAAAUUUCUCCAAUUUGUCGAUUUCUGAGGUGUAUAAUCAAUCGGUCGUUAGUAAUGGUUGGGGGGGGGUCUAUACUCGGAAAACGCUAAUAUUGCUAUUAUUAUAUAGAUUGUUUAUACAGCUGCGGGCAUACAUUGGGACAAACCCGAUAAUAAACUGCUGGGUUCCAACAUCGAAAAUUUAUCUAUAAACUAUUAUAUAUAAUUAUCAUGUCUAUGGUAGAAUAUCGCAUAGAAAUGUAGAAUUAUUUUUGAAUGCUAAUAUAAUUGUUUUUAGAUUUUAAUAAUAUUAUGAUCAUAUAUUUAGAAUUGUAUUUUAUUUUUUCACCAAUGAUGUCAUAUUAUUAUAUUCAAAAUAUCAUUUCAACAAUUCGUUUAUAAUAUAAUAAUAAUAUAUCUAUAAUAUCAUUUAAAAAUUCGUUAUUAAGAAUAAAAUAAUAAUAUAUUCAUGUUAUUAUUAUUUUACAAAAUAUUUAUUUGAUAUACUAUCUCGAUAUUUAUUUUUAUACUAAUACUAAUUUUCUUUUUUUAAAAAAAAGGCUUAUAUUUUUAAAUGAUAUAAUAAUAUCUAAACAAGAAAUUUUUACUUACGGAAAAUACAGAAAAGUUGAAUUGAAUGGGUAUAUCAUUAUUAUACAUCCUGGGGUUUUAAAAAUGUAUAUAUAUAUAACAUAACACAGUUACAAGUAUACAUCAUGCAUUUAUACAUAAUAUACAUUUUAUUUUGUUUUUUGUUUCGAAGUUUAACAAUUGGUUUUCUUAUUUUGUUUUUUCUCAAAUCAAACUAUAAACUUUUUCUCAGUAGGAAUCAAUUAUACAUAAAAACAAAAUAUUACAACAUGAACAAUAUUAUUUGAGAGUACAUUUUAAAUUUGUUUGAUCUUAAAAAUUUGGGGUUUCUUUAAAAACAAAAUAUUUACAUAAAUAUAUUAUGUAAGUACCUAUUUUCCUGUUUUAAAAACUUGGAAAUGAAAUCUUUUUUUAAAUUUAAGUAUACCUAUGUAUAAAACGAUUUUUCGUAAUUUUUCAUAUUAAAGGCCAAAAAGUAUAUUAAGAGAAGUUUUUUAUAAACAAAUUUGAUGGUUUUACGAAUUGUAAAUAGUUUUCUUUAAUACCUGGCUUUUGGUAAUAGCGAGUUUAUAUACAAUAUUGAGGUUUUCGUGGUAGAGUUCAAAUCAAGAUCAUUUUUUUCAUUUUAUAUUGAAAUAUUUGUUUCUUUUUGCAAAAUAUAAAAAAAACUAUUCAACCUUUGAUUUAUACAUAGUAGUAUAAUACAUAAUAGAUUUUAUGUAUUUCUAUUAUAUUAUGUUUCAAAAGUAAUAUUUGUAUGCACUUCGCGUUAAAAUGUUUAUUUAAUUAAGACGGGAAUUUUUAAUUUUAACGUACUUUUAACACAAGUAAAAAUAUUUUAAUGAUUAUUAUCCGACUUUAAAAUGUAUAUAGUCCUGUAGAGUCGUGGAAUUUGAACGAAAAUUUCAAAACGAAACUUAAGGAUUAUUACAAUAAUUUUACAUUUUACUUGUACAGACUUUUGUUCUUCGAAUCGUAGAUUAUAAGAAUUGUUGUGGAAUAUUUCGGUAUGACGUGUGAUCAAUUAAACAUUGAAAAAAAAGCUUUUGUUUCUGAUCUGAAGUAGUUACAAUGUACAUUAAUGUUGGUUGUAGAAAAUAGUGUUUUAAAAUAUUACACCGAAUUAUAUAGGUGACAAUUAUUCUAUAGCUAUAUAAUUAUUUCAUAAAAUACAAUUUUAUCGGAUAUAGAAUAAGUGGUUUUAUUUUAAAACACGGUAUUAAGACCCGUAUACUUCUCUAUCAAGUAACCGGACAAAUGCAUCCAAAUGCGCCCUAUCAUAAUGUGCCUUUUUAACACAUUAAAUGAUUAGGUUAACUUACGAUUUUGGAGAAAUACCAAUAGGUAAGAAUAGGUAUUAUCUUAUUGAAAAUCCAGAAAUAUUAUUUAAUAAUACGUUGUUUUAUAUUAUGGCAUUUUAUGACAAAUUUUUACUGUGGCUAUACAAUAUUGUGUUUGGGAUUACGAAAUAAUACCCAAUGACCAUCGCCGACUAGUAAUCACGAGCAAACUAUUUUUAUUGUUUUAUUCAUAAUCUCCUUCUUUAUCUGGAACAUUUUGCCAAGUUUUCUAAUUUAUUUUGGUUUUUUUUUUUUUCGUUAAAAUAAUACUUUUUUGGUUAGUAAGAGGCUGUACAUUUUUGGAAUCGUGCCUUAAAAGAUACGGAUUCUUCAUUCUGUUUAAUUGAAAAAUUAAUUAAAUUAUCAACGUUUUUUCUUUAAAUUUAAAAACUACAAUAAAUGAAGAUACAUUGUUUUUAAUUUUGUUAAUUUCUGGAACAUACUGGAUACGUAGUAAAAUCUCUACUAAUGCUACUCAGAAUCAUUUAUCCUUUUAAAUGAUUUAUCUUUGCAUUCAGUAUAUAAACCUAAUUAGUCUGUACAUUCUACAUUUCUAUCCUACCUUACCUAGAGCAGUGUUAUCUUCAUAGCCAAGGCGUGAAGGCAGUGCAAGCUGUGCUAGUGUACAGAGCACUGCAGUGUUUUUAAGAGCAUCGCGUUGCCUUCUCAAUCAUGGCUCAUAAUUUCACAUGAUUAUUUAGAAAAAUAUAAAUUAAAAUUAAUGGAAUAAGAUAAAUUGAAAAAAUUUACUUAGAAUUUGAAAAAACAAAAAAGGGAAGAGGAAGGUCAAAUCAGAAAAUCGAAGUUCCGUAAAAUUGACUGUACAGUGCCUCGAUAUUUUCCGACCCGGCCUUGCUAAAAAUGUUUAUAUUUUACCAUAAAACCAUAUAGGGUGACAUUUUUUUAUCGUAGUCCAGCGAUUUUUUCGGAGAAUUUGAUUAAAAACGAUUUUUUUUCAAUCGUUACAUGAAAAUGUACGGAAUAAUUUAAAUUUUAUUUUAAUAUUAUUUUCAAAAUUUCACCCCUGUAUUUUUAUAUCUUAAAUAUGAAUAGUUACUUUUGAUAUUAGAAAGGCAAUAUUCUUCACCUCUCUUUAUUUAAAACACAGAUUUGAUAAAAUAGUUUUCUAAUAUUUAGGUACGCAAUUUACUAGCUAAUAUUCAAUACACUGAUUAUAAGUUUAAACAGUUUAAAACUUAAACCAGAGGAGUAGGGAUGAUUAAUAAAUUGUAUACCAUAUAUUUUAGAUUGUGAGCGUGGAAAAGAAUUUAUUGAUUUUACUAUGAUGUUUGCGUUUUUAGAUUUUGAAUGAGGCGAGGAAAUGUAUCAGUUUCUUUAUAACAGGUUUGGCAAAAACGAUUUCUUCAAUGUCCUAAUUUAUCAUACAAUUAAAAAAAAUGUUCAACCCUGCUAGUAGUUAUUUUAAUAAGUAUGAUGUAUAUUAUCUAUGAUGAUUUUAGUAUCAUUAUUAUCAUUAUUACUGUUUAUUACACAGAGAAUUUAUUUCAAAAUAUAAAUAUAAAACUAAUCGUAGUAGGUAAUUAUGGAAAAAUGAACUUUCAUUGUUUGUAAGGAACCUUUUACAUCCUUUUACUUGGAAAAUUUGUUAUGUCUGGGUGAUAUAUUUUUGAUUGCCUCUUUCUCGGUUAAUCUGUUUCUAGUCUUAGAGCGCACAUAAUUUAAUACGGAAAAUAGACUCUCGUAAGCAUAAGUCAAAGAGAAAAUUGUUGACAACGAAAUCGUAAAACUUUUGAUAGAAUAAUAAAUAAAAUACAGAUUAUUAAUAUACAAUCGAAAAUUUAGUUCUGUCAAUAUGUGUAAUCUAAAAAUCUAAAAAAAUAUUUAUGGACACAUGCUAGUCUUUCCGGUGCCAUCGAAAAUUUCACCCAUGCCAUGCUUGGUACGCUUGUCACUUAUUUUCAAUUCCUGCUCUAUGAUGAGUGGGAUUUAUUUAUUUUUUGUUUUUGUGCCUAUAAGCGACUUUUCCAUAAGAAAUCGUGCUCUGAUCAACAAAAUACAAGAAACGGUUUUGGUUAAAUUUUGGAUCUAAUUGGCAUAUUAAGGAAGUCAUUAUUUGAUUUUUCGAGUAUUUUUCAUUAUAGUUUAAAAAAAAAACAUCUAGGGUAGGCAAUAAUAGUUUUUUUUUUUGUAUUUUGGUUAAAAAAAAUCGUUGAGACCUGAAACUGUUUACAAAACAUUGAUAAUAACUUUUUCUAUACAUGGUACAAUUCUUAAACCAUUCUGGUUAGUAAUUCUUGGGAUGACAGCCUAGAGAGGGUAAUUCGGACAGCACUGCUGCUUUAUAUAUUUAUUUAAAGUUCAAACUUGAAUAAAAAUCGUAAAAAUCACGACAUUUCAAAAUAUGUUCAGAAUUGUAUUUCGUCAGUAAUGCUGUAUAAUCAUUACAUACAGUUAAAAAUUAAAACGCUUUGUAUAUUUAUGAUUCCUAACUUCUUAUCUACAACUGUGGCUUUUACACUUUAGUUGUUUUUUCCAUUUUUAGAGCAUUUUUUUUUUUUUUUUAUAGAAUUUGUCGAUAAUUUUAUGAGUUAUAAGGGCAUAUUUAUGUAUUACACGAAUUAAUAAUAUAAAUUUAGGUAACUCAAAAUACAAUUUCAAGAAAUUUUACUGCCAUGAAAUUGAUUUAAUAGGUAGAAUUGAUCUGACAGAUAUUUUUCAUCAAUACAGAUUAACAACCGUUUUGUUUAUAAUUUCGAUAACGUCCUGAUAUUAUUUAUGUUCACAUCUGUGGUGAACCCAGCUCAAACAAAUAACUACAGCAAAAUUGAAACUUUUUUUAUUUUCCUCUGUUUUUCCAUUUUUAGCAGUUUUGGAUAUUUUUUUAAGGGUAUUAUUUCGCUGAAAAGCAUUUUCAGCUAAUUUUUAGAGCAUAUUUUUUAAUUUUUUUAGGUUAUUUAUAUCCGGUCCUUAAUAACAACAAGGACGACGUAGGAAUAUUAUAUAAUAUUGUAGUACGACGGUAAAACGCGGCGGAGGUAAAUAAUUAUUAUUAUUGAUAUUUCGACUCGUCGAAAUAAUAAUUAUUAUUCAACUUGUUCAGGACACGUACCUAUGUCUGCUUUUGAAACGUCCGCUCGCGGGUAUUGUCGGGCGCCAAAACAUUUGCCCCGUAUAAUGUUCUCGGUAGAUGAUACUAUAUUGGCCGCCAAAUUUUAUUGCAGGCAGGUACACAUAAUGAAAUCUAAUUUAAAAUUUUUUUCGAUCAUAUUCUGUUGGACUGUAUAUAUAUAUCUACCUACCAGCUGAUCGGUUUUUUAAAUUCUGAGUCAAAUGAUAAAUUUAUUGGUUUUACUAUGAGUAUGAUUUUUUUUUUCGUGUCCUAUGUACAAUUUUUCUACCAGAAAUCUUGCUCCAAUCAAAUGUUUAAAGUAACUUUCUUUGGUGCAUUUUUUUUUAUUUUCUUUGUAGUUUUCCUAAUAAAUCAACUAGAAUUUUUUUUUUAAGAUUUUUGUUGAUUUCUGGGUUAUCUUAAUAAUAAGGGAAAAUAAUUUAGGAUGGAUUGAUCAAUGUUAUUUAAUUUAUAUACAUAUACGUAACGAUAAAUAAUUACUAAUGGAAUCCAACUUAGAAUAAAGUUCAUUUAUACAUGUUUUAUAGUGUUGUACAUUUUUGUUAACAUUUGAUCUUCAAACGCUUAUAAAAAAAAUUACUACGCAACACUAUCUUUUUUUUUAAAUUUAACAUAACUUUUGUUGAAUUUAUUUUAAAAUUGGUCAAUUUAAAAGCUCAAUUUAUUUAGCUAUUAGCUAUUUAGCUAUUUAGCUGUAUAUUUAUAAAUUUAUUCAGCUAAAAAAUGUAUUCCAUAUUUUUAAAUUUUUUUUUACAAUCCUUGAUUGGUUCAAUGACAUUAAUGGACCUCUAUUUGUCCCUAUCCAUUACAGCUAUUUUUAGUUUUUUGAAAUUGGUUUUUCCUAUGUCUUCUAUAAUCUGUUUCAUAAACGGUGUUUUUGAUCUACCUCUUCCAGCUUUUCCUUCUAUUAUUGUCGUUAUCCGUUCAUUGUUUCUCGUUAUAUGCCCAAUACAUUUUUCCUUCUUUCUCUGGUCGUUCUCCAUACUGUUUUCCGUUGAUUUAUUCUUAGGUAUAUUUCUCCAAUUUAAUUUAUAAAAUACUUACCAAAUAAAAACUAAAAAAAUGACUUGAAAAUAUCAAAUGCUUACAAAUAACUCAAAAAUAGUUAGAAUAUUUUUAAAACGGUUAAAUUAUUUCUUUGUUUUUCUUUCCCGGGGUUUUCCCAAUUUUUAUGAAAACUACUUAGAAAAUCCAAAAAUGAUCUCUUAUUAAUGCACCAAUUGAAUCUAAAAUGAAAAAAAAAUUUAUCUUAGCAUUUUUAAUGAGAAAAUUUGCUUACAGACACACACAAAAAAAAAACCAAAAAUCAGACACAUCGUAGUAAGAUCAAUAAAUCCCCCACUCCACUACCAAACUUAAAAUAAAACUUAUCAUACAAAAACUAAUUUCUAAAAAAAAUUUAUAACUAUACCAAUUUUAAUGUACUAUUACUUUGUACGUAUGAAAUGAUCGGAUCCGAAAACCAAAACACGUUACAAAGGCAAUGAGUUAAGAUCAUGGGAUUCUUAGUGUUGUGGUAUCGUUUUCUACCUUUUACGACCAUAUUUUAUGUUACGUUUUACGUGAAAAAUAUACCAAACAGCUGCUAAUAUACGGGGGUGCAUAAAUAUUGGAAAAUAUUUUGUUGCGCAUUCAUCAGUAGUAUAAGCUUAUUUUGUUAAUAUAUUACUAUACACAGAUGGUAAAUUCUACUAUGAUGUCCUAUUUAUUUAAAUAGUAUAUAGUUAAUUCAUACCUAACUUAAUGUCUAAUAAAAUCACUGAAACUGUCUGUGAAGCUGAUAAAAUCAAUAAUCAAUUGAACUUUUAAUGAACUUAAGUUAAUUUACAUUUAUAGUUAUUUUAAACUAAGUUAAUUUAGUGAGUUUAUUAAAAAAAUUAAAUAGUUCAAUUAUUUAAUGCUUAUAGAUAAAUUGAUAAAUUAAUUAACAAGUGUAUGGUUUAAACUAACGCUAUAAUGACUGCCAAUUAUAAAUGCAUUUUCCAAAAUGCUUUUGGACGUUAUAGUGUGUGUCUUUUAUAGUUUUUGCGUAAUGUUCAUGGUACAUCAUAAUAGUAUGACUAAAGUGAUCACUGUUCAUCGUAAAUUAGAUACUCUUACAGACGAUCAGUUUUAUGUUUUGCGGAGAACUAGAGACUGGGGAUUAAUAACGGAUAAGUGUUCUAUUUAUACGAAUAUGAUGCGGGGUACGUAAUAAAACCAUUUAUCAUUAUAAUAACCAUGACUAUAUUAUAUAAUAAUGAUAUUAUUAGGAAUUAUUAUUUGCUGCGUUAUCGUAUACGAUAAUAAUUUUUAACAGUGUCUAUUGGAGACGAGAUUAUAACUAUCGACCCGACCGCGACUGACUCACAUUUCAAAGCGACCGGAUUCAAGAUCAAAAUCACGGUGGUCUAAAUGAUCUAGCACCUUAUACGUACGUAUAUGAUUUAAACUAUGGUAUAAACGCAAGUGCGGUUGCG